UGGGGAAUAUUGGGCAAUGGGCGAAAGCCUGACCCAGCGACGCCGCGUGAGGGAAGAAGGUCUUCGGAUUGUAAACCUCUUUCAGCAGGGAAGAAGAAAGUGACGGUACCUGCAGAAGAAGUCACGGCUAACUACGUGCCAGCAGCCGCGGUAAUACGUAGGUGGCGAGCGUUAUCCGGAAUUACUGGGUGUAAAGGGUGUGUAGGCGGGGUGUCAAGUCAGAUGUGAAAACUGUGGGCUUAACCCACAAACUGCAUUUGAAACUGAUACUCUUGAGAGUGGGAGAGGUAAACGGAAUUCCUGGUGUAGUAGUGAAAUGCGUAGAUAUCAGGAGGAACACCGGUGGCGAAGGCGGUUUACUGGACCACAACUGACGCUGAGACACGAAAGCGUGGGGAGCAAACAGG
rnacentral:rRNA from 1 species